UAAGGAAUAUUGGACAAUGGGCGCAAGCCUGAUCCAGCCAUGCCGCGUGAAGGAUUAAGGUCCUCUGGAUUGUAAACUUCUUUUAUAAGGGACGAAAAAAGGGAAUUCUUUCUCACUUGACGGUACCUUAUGAAUAAGCACCGGCUAACUCCGUGCCAGCAGCCGCGGUAAUACGGAGGGUGCAAGCGUUAUCCGGAUUCACUGGGUUUAAAGGGUGCGUAGGCGGGUAUUUAAGUCAGUGGUGAAAUCCUAGAGCUUAACUCUAGAACUGCCAUUGAUACUAUUUAUCUUGAAUACUGUGGAGGUAAGCGGAAUAUGUCAUGUAGCGGUGAAAUGCUUAGAUAUGACAUAGAACACCUAUUGCGAAGGCAGCUUACUACGCAUAUAUUGACGCUGAGGCACGAAAGCGUGGGGAUCAAACAGG
rnacentral:rRNA from 1 species